GAAACAUCCAGCAUCACUGGUCUCUCCAAGGCUGCAGGUGUCUUUGCCCAUAGUGCCUGUUUUGUGUCAGGGAAAGAAUCAACCUGGGAGCCAAGCCCAGGAAUCAGGAUGACCAAGACAUACUGGACAAGGAGGGAACAAACCCAUCCAAGGACACUCAAGGACAAAUCAAGCAAAUGAAUUUAAGGGAGACCUGCUCAUGGUCUGCUUUGCUGCUCAGCAUGGCUGGGAGGCACAGUGGAAGAUCAUGCAUCCUUCCCCUGGGACUCCUCUGCCAGAGCCUGAGAGCUUUCUCCUGCACACAGGCUAGGGGUAGGGCAGUUGGAAUUGAUCCAUGCCUUCUAGCUAGACUGUGGGUCCCCUCAGUCUUGGGCAUGGUGACAGCCCAGCAUCAGACAGAGGAUAGGUGGAGAAACACAUGAAGCACAACUGCAGUGGGUUAUAAAAAAUGGCCUUUCGAGUUGAGCAGUAAAUUCGUUCAAGCAGCCAUUCUGAAGGACAAACUGGCUCUGUAUUUAACAGGGGCAUUCCAGCACUUCUCUAGCUAC
rnacentral:lncRNA from 1 species